rnacentral:pre_miRNA from 1 species
CCUGAUGGAUGAACAAAGACAGCGGUUUCCUGAGAUGGAAUCUACUCCUGGUGAAGAUGCUGUGAA